rnacentral:rRNA from 1 species
UACGUAGGGUCCGAGCGUUGUCCGGAAUCAUUGGGCGUAAAGAGCGUGUAGGCGGCCAGAUAAGUCCGCUGUGAAAUCUCGAGGCUCAACUUCGAGCUGUCGGUGGAAACUAUCUGGCUAGAGUCCGGAAGAGGAGAAUGGAAUUCCUGGUGUAGCGGUGAAAUGCGCAGAUAUCAGGAAGAACACCCGUGGCGAAGGCGGUUCUCUGGGACGGUACUGACGCUGAGACGCGAAAGCGUGGGGAGCGAACAGG